AGAGCGGGUCGGACGGUCGCUGGGGCAACCUGGAGGAAGGUCCGGACUCCGCAGGACAGGGUGCUGGCUAACGGCCAGGCGUUAUAGGCCGAAAGGCUGAAGGCGACGGAAAGUGGAACAGAAAGAUACCGCCGAAGCCCGCAAGGGCUGGCAAGGGUGAAAUGGUGAGGUAAGAGCUCACCGCGCCGAUGGCGACACCGGCGGCACGCCAAACCCCACCCGGAGCAACACCGAAUAGGCACGCGAUCCGGCUUCACGGCCGGGCAGGGCGGUCCGCCCGAGCGUGCGGGUUGGUGGCUAGAGCGGUCGGGUAACCGGCCGCCCAGAGGAAUGACCGUCACGUCGGGCAACCGGCGGACAGAAUCCGGCCUACAGACCCACUUUGCAC
rnacentral:RNase_P_RNA from 1 species